CCUACGGGUGGCAGCAGUAGGGAAUAUUGCUCAAUGGGGGAAACCCUGAAGCAGCAACGCAGCGUGGAGGAUGAAGGUUUUAGGAUUGUUAAAUCCUUUUGUUAGAGAAGUAAAUGACGGUAUGUAACGAAUAAGCCCUGGCUAACUCGGUGCCAGCAGCCGCGGUAAUACGGAGGGUGCAGGCGUUACUCGGAAUCACUGGGCGUAAAGAGCGCGUAGGCGGGUUAGCAAGUCAGAUGUGAAAGCCUACGGCUUAACCAUAGAACUGCAUUUGAAACUGUUAUUCUAGAGUAUGGUAGAGGUAGGUGGAAUUCUUGGUGUAGGGGUAAAAUCCUUAGAGAUCAAGAGGAAUACUCAUUGCGAAGGCAACCUGCUAGAACAUAACUGACGCUGAUGCGCGAAAGCGUGGGGAGCAAACAGGAUUAGAUACCCCUGUAGUC
rnacentral:rRNA from 1 species